GGCAAAGUUCCAACUCCUAAUGGCUCCGCAGCUCUUGAAAAAGAGGUUUACAAGCUGGGGACCAAGCGCUCAAAGCAUAAGCCUGUGGAGGAUGUUUCAGAUUCAAACCAUAACCGGUAGCGGAGAAUACACAAGGGCGGCGUGCUCUAUUGCACACUUGCUUCCUGUUAAAUCUGCCCUUUGGACUGAAACGGACUCACAGCUGUAGCGAACCAGACCGUGCUGCUGGCAGGAAGCAUGGGACUGUGUUCUCAUGGGCUGUGCCCAUGCAACAGAGAGUGUCUACAGCACAGUGCAGACCAGCCCCUGCCAAUCCAGGCUAGAAUUUCCUCCUGCUUUCUCCCUCUCUCUUUACUUUUGUGACAUGCUAAGAUGUCAAGAAUCACCCGGUUCAUUAGAUUUGCUACAUUUUCCCAGAAGCCUCUGUUUUGUUCAUCUUCUUUUGGGGCACACAGAUUUCUGAGGGUAUUCAAAGAACAAAAUUGGGGUUUGAAGUUCAUUCCUAAGAUACCCACCGAGCAUCACAGCAGCGCCCACGAGACUCUUAAGACAACAACUCCCCUCAGUUUCUCUCUGCGACUGACAUGCUUCAUAACAAAACUUGGAAAGGAGGAUGUCACUGCGCCAUCAUGGGUUCACAGAUAAAGCUGCAGGACAAGGGCUGUUUGGAGAGCCCUGCUCAGGGGUCCCUUCUUCGGCUGUUGAGGUUACCAGGGGUUCCUCAACGAGGGACGAAAACAUCUCUGGGGACGGCCCUGCUGGCUCCAGCCCCACAGCAGUGUGCCUGGGGGGAAUGCCAGUUCCUCCUCUCUCUCUGGUGAGCUCUCUCUGAUGAGCUCCCCCUAAUUCCCUCUUUUUUUUUUCCCCAUGUUUUCUAUUCUUAUUUUAUUUUUAACUUCUUGUUCUUGGCACAAGAGUGUGUGUUGAUUUGCUCACAACAAUCACCUUUUGCCUCGAGAGUCAUACAGAAUGUUUUAGGUGUAUUCUUUAGAAAUCUUGGGCCAUAUUCUGUUUUGGAGGGGCUGGAAAGUAACCAGAGGAUCACCAGAGCACAGGCUCACUUACUCAGCCUUCUGUCUGGAUGAUGCUCUGUCUCCUGCCACCCAAUUUUACGCUCAAACCCUGUGACACAUAAGCACUUCCAUGGACUUGGUCCUCCCUGGACAAGGACUCCAUGGUUUCUUGCAGUUCUGUGCUCUAUCAUGGAGCUUCCAGGCCUCUCUUUACCUCUCAAAAUGCUACUUCUCCUUGGUUCCUCUCCCUUACUUCAACCCUCACCUCUUUCCUCUGUUUCCCCUUUAAAAAUCUGUAGUCCCUGAGCUGCAUGGAACUGGCUGUCACUUGCUUCCUGAAGAGACAGGUAGUCCAAAAGUAUUAGUCGUACAUAUUUAGGUCUUUGGGGCGAGGAGAUGGCAAGAUAGUAAACUCCGGCCGUCUUUUUAUUCUUCCAUGAUUGUAAAGUCUAGUCCAUUUCUGUGUUCUGACUGUUUUGAUCAUGACUCUUCAGGCUUCCCCGAUGAAGACAUUGUCUUAGUGCCACUUCUUUUGAAGUAUCUGAGGCCUCAAGAAAGCGAAUCAUGAAUAUGAUCUGAUAGAAAUCUGUGUUAAUGCAUGACUGCACAACAACUAGACAGUAGCUAGACAGUGGUAUAGGCAUUGGGGACAAACAGAUUGACUGGACAAAUUCCUGCCUUCAGGCUUUCUGAGUCUCCUUAUGGGUGAAGACAUCUCAUGGCACCACCAGUGUUAAGGAAGAUGACAUAGGCACCCAUCAGAGGCUUGAGUUGGGUUUGGGUGGAGAUGGAAUAGACAUGUGGCCUCUGGGAUGGGUAGAACCAUUUGAGAUAUUUAAAGGAAGACAGGAUGAUGUGGAUCAAAGAAAGGGUUUAGAACAAUGGUUCUCAACAUGUGGGUCGCAACCCCUCUACCUCCAAAAAUAUUUA